CUCGGCUCUCGCAUCGAUGAAGAACGUAGCGAAAUGCGAUACUUGGUGUGAAUUGCAGAAUCCCGUGAACCAUCGAGUCUUUGAACGCAAGUUGCGCCCGAAGCCGUUAGGUCGAGGGCACGUCUGCCUGGGCGUCACGCAUCGCGUCGCCCCCAUACUCGGCCC
rnacentral:rRNA from 1 species